rnacentral:lncRNA from 1 species
AGGUAAUGUCCUUGCAUAAAUAAUUAUUAACAAAUACAUUUCUUCAACAUGAUCAAGUUUGAGUUGGUCCAUGGUUCGUAUUUAUUUUUUGCAGCUCAUCCUUAAAUUCUCAGCUUAGGCUGGGUCUGCCUGAUUUAAUGCAGGUGAUGAGAGAUUCAGCAAUACUACAUAAACUUUGUCUGCCAACCAAUUUCACCCCAAAAUCACGAUUUAACACUCGCAUCCUGUCAAUAUCUCCAACUACGUUAUUCAGCUCAAUGACCUGCCUCCUCUGGAUCAAACCAUAAAGAUUAAUAAAACUGAGUGACUUCUCACGUAAACAUUACUGUACAAUACUGUGUUACUGUGUAACAACGCGUUUUUUAUGACAACUUGCUUACUUUACAAAAUUUAUAAAUAUUACCCACAACUAUAACAUUAUAUCAAAUCCACACCUUAUUAUUCAAAAUAAUAUUUAAAGAAAAUUAAAUUUUUAUUUAUAAAAAAUUGGGGAAGAUUUUACUUGAUUUAUGUAGAACUAUUUUGGGACGUUACAACUAUGGGUUGCCUUAUACGGUAAAUUGAUUUUAAUUAAUGGUAAAUAAGACUUGAAAUAUUUUGAGGAAUUUUGAAGCAUGACCUUAUUUACUAAAAUCACUUUCAUAAAAAAUAUCCGACCUGCCGGAUUCGAACCAGCGACCUAAGGAUUUCCAAGGGAACAACCCACUACAGUCCUCCGCUCUACCAACUGAGCUAAGGUCGGAUGAACAUUAGGUGCCAAAUUUACAAUAUCUAACAGGCAACAAGCAUAAAGAAAGACAUAGGCAGUCACUUAAUCCCUCUAAUCUAUCCCAUAAAAAGAUCCCAUUUGUCAAAAAAAAUUAAAAAAGUAUUCUUCAUUUCUUUUUAUGAUGAUAGUAUGAAAUUACACAAGUGACCUCUGAUUGUGUAUGUCACACCGUAUUGCUGAUGGAUUCACCAUGGCUGCUUAUCUUUAUGCAGACUUACAAUUACAAAUUCAUAAGUUUACUUAUCGAUGCAUGCAAUUGAUAAAAAUUGUAGGAGGUUCUCUAUCAAAGUUAAUACUAAUAUUUAUUCAAAUACUUAAUUUAACACUUAUAAGUAAAAAUUAUGCUAAAUAUUUUUAUUUAUAAAUUACAACUUAAAAUAACUUAUAAGUCAUUUUAAAAUAAGUCAUUCCCGAAAAAGCCGUUCAAGAAGUCAAAUUCCAAAUGCUAAAUAAAAUUCAGAAUCUUAUCCGAACAAUUAGUACUAUUACUAGACUUCUAGUUCUCUCUUAAUUCGGUCGGAAGAAUUAACCAAUAGGUGAAAUUACUUUAGUUUUUACUUUUUUGAACUUAAAAAGUUCUGCCUUGAUGCAAGCCGAUAACUGACAUCAUCUUCUCGUAUAUCUUGUCAAGUUUUUUUUUAUAAAAUUUAAUUUGUUUCAGAUAAACCAAAGAACAUAAACAAACACCCUACCAAAAAAUUGCUAAAGCUGGCUACAAAAAAGUAAGGAGCAACUGACAAAUUAUUUAAAAUGGUAAUACAAGAUUAUUGAACAGAAAAGUAAAGAAAUCACUUAUCAAAUACUUCCAUAAUUCAUGAAGAUUAUGUGAGGGGCGUGUUGAAUGCUUACAUGAGAUGUUACUUGAAAUCUUCCGUUUUAGAGAAAUUAUACAGGAUCCGGGUUACCAUGAAUUUAACUUUAUGGUAAGUUAGUUAAUUAAUCAAUAUAGUGCUGACAUGCACCUCCCAAUCUGCAUGUCGACACUAAAUUGAUCAAAAUUAACUUCAUUUUAGUUACUCUUAAUUAUACAACGGUUCCCGUUAACAUAUGGUUACACCUAUUAUGAAAGCCAAAUGAAUUCGUAAACUCUAAUUGCUAAAAUUGCUAAGCUAUAAGUUGGUCGAAGGAGGUAAUGUCCUUGCAUAAAUAAUUAUUAACAAAUACAUUUCUUCAACAUGAUCAAGUUUGAGUUGGUCCAUGGUUCGUAUUUAUUUUUUGCAGCUCAUCCUUAAAUUCUCAGCUUAGGCUGGGUCUGCCUGAUUUAAUGCAGGUGAUGAGAGAUUCAGCAAUACUACAUAAACUUUGUCUGCCAACCAAUUUCACCCCAAAAUCACGAUUUAACACUCGCAUCCUGUCAAUAUCUCCAACUACGUUAUUCAGCUCAAU